rnacentral:rRNA from 1 species
AUUGAACGCUGGCGGCAGGCUUAACACAUGCAAGUCGAACGAGUGGCGGACGGGAGAGUAAUGCUUGGGACUCUAGCUUAUGGAGGGGGAUAAGUACGGGAAACUGUAGCUAAAACCGCGUACCCUAGGAUGAGCCCACGUGGGAUUAGGUAGUUGGUGAGGUAAAGGCGCACCAAGCCGACGAUCCUUAGCUGGUCUGAGAGGAUGACCAGCCACACGGGGACUGAGACACGGCCCAGACUCCUACGUGAGGCAGCAGUGGGGAAUAUUGGGCAAUGGGGGAAACCUGACGCAGCCAUGCCGCGUGGAUGAAGAAGGCCUGCGGGUUGUAAAGUUCUUUCGGUAGCGAGGCGUUAACUACAGAAGAAGCACCGGCUAACUCCGUGCCAGCAGCCGCGGUAAUAC